CACCACCGGAUUUAGAAUAAAAUAAGCAAGAUUCUCUAGAACUGAGGGUGAAUACUUGCUCAAGAUUUCUCAAUUGCUGAAUGAUAGACCAAGCAUUUGAUUCUAAAGAUUUUCCCUAAAACCUCUGGGGGGAGAGAAGCUUUUGAAAGGAGGGGAUCCAUGAACUGAGAAGAAUGAAUGGCUUUUAGAAGACGGAUUAUUACAGAGUAUUUCCAAAUCUGGUUGCAUAACAUUUGGCCCAGAUUUUCCACACACCAAUGAUGAGAACUCCACUCUCAACCUUUAAACUCCACUCAAGUUCUCCUCCACAAUCUUUGACGCCACCCUAACUCAACAUAAGUGAGAAAGCAUGGCCGGCUCCUUCCUUCAAUGCCACCACACUUGCGUUAGCUUUCACAGACGACUUCCCCAAGGCGUUCCGUGGGAAUUUAAGAAAACGACUCUCCAGA